AAACCGUAGCCUUCGGCGCAUACCACAACACACUGAAUCCCUUCCUGCAGCACGGAGCAAUCGCUAUGCCCAUUUAUUGGAGAUGGAACGUUUUUACAUGCAUCUAAAUUGGAAUUUGCGCAAAAAUGGUGUAUGACUUUUACUGAUCUCUAGAGGAUGUCCAGAGUUGUCAUAAAAUACAGGCUCGUCCCAGGUAAUAUUUAUUGCUGUCGACUUGUUCUCAAGUAGAAAAAUAGGAGGAUCAACGCAGUUUUCAACAGUGGGUGGUUCCUUGUCUGUAAAAUAUCUGUUUAUGCAUUUGAACUGAAAACAGAAUAUAUUAUUGGUUAAUAUUAGAACAAUUUACCAGAUUUUUACCUAUAA